AUUCCUACGGGGGGCAGCAGUGGGGAAUAUUGCACAAUGGGGGAAACCCUGAUGCAGCGACGCCGCGUGAGUGAGGAAGUAUUUCGGUAUGUAAAGCCCUAUCAGCAGGGAAGAAAAUGACGGUACCUGACUAAGAAGCCCCGGCUAACUACGUGCCAGCAGCCGCGGUAAUACGUAGGGGGCAAGCGUUAUUCGUAUUUACUGGGUGUAAAGGGAGCGUAGACGGCGUGCCAAGUCGG
rnacentral:rRNA from 1 species